rnacentral:miRNA from 1 species
GCUGGGCGUGGUGGCGGGCGCCUGUGAUCCCAGCUAACUCAGGAGGCUGAGGCAGGAGAAUCGCUUGAACCCGGGGAGCGAAGGUUACAGUGAGC